AUUGAACGCUGGCGGAAUGCUUUACACAUGCAAGUCGAGCGGCAGCGCGGGGCAACCUGGCGGCGAGCGGCGAACGGGUGAGUAAUUCAUCGGAACGUACCCAGUUGUGGGGGAUAGCCCGGCGAAAGCCGGAUUAAUACCGCAUACGACCUGAGGGUGAAAGGGGGGGAUCGCAAGACCUCUCGCAGUUGGAGCGGCCGAUGGCGGAUUAGCUAGUUGGUAGGGUAAAGGCCUACCAAGGCGACGAUCCGUAGCGGGUCUGAGAGGACGACCCGCCAAACUGGAACUGAGACACGGUCCAGACUCCUACGGGAGGCAGCAGUGGGGAAUUUUGGACAAUGGGGGCAACCCUGAUCCAGCCAUUCCGCGUGAGUGAAGAAGGCCUUCGGGUUGUAAAGCUCUUUCGGCAGGAACGAAACGGUCCUUUCUAAUACAAGGGGCUAAUGACGGUACCUGAAGAAGAAGCACCGGCUAACUACGUGCCAGCAGCCGCCGUAAGAC
rnacentral:rRNA from 1 species